CUGCGGUAUUCCUGACUGAAUCAAGAUACGCUGGGGAAGAGGCAUCUGAAGAUAGCCCGGGUUCUGACCUCGGCCCUGCUGCCUAACUGCCUGGUGACUUCAGCGCAAGGCCUCGCUGAAGCGAACCCAUCGUGGGAAGGGCGCGGAGAAAGCGGGGAGAAAGAGCAGGGGGACGUCGGGCCUGCGCCUGGCACCGCCGCUACCUGGAUUCGCGGGCCCCUCACACACUCACCUGCCGGUAUUCUAAUCACAGAAUUACUGGAGCAUCAAGAAGUGCCUGCAUGCUUGGAAGGGCUUCCAGGCAGAUGAACACACCUCAGCACCGGGUGGCAUUUUCCCAGGGUGCAACCCGGACCGGCUCUGGGUCACACUGACAAGCCUCUCCGACUCCCCAGGCUGGGUUGGGUGCUCCUCCCUCUCAUCCCACAGCGCUAUGUCUCAUGUCUUCUGGAAAACUUGCCAAUCCCUAGUGACAACAGGGUUAACAAUUUCCAGAGACAGCCCGUACAUAGAAGGAAUGUUUACUGAAAAAAAUGAAGAGGGGUCAGGGCAAGGCGAGGAGCAAGAAGCACCCCCAAGGAAACAGAGAAGACCAGUACAA
rnacentral:lncRNA from 1 species